rnacentral:rRNA from 1 species
UACAGAGGUGUCAAACGUUGUCCGGAAUUAUUGGGCGUAAAGGGCGCGUAGGCGGCCGGGUAAGUGAGAUGUGAAAGCUCUGGGCUCAACCCAGGAAUUGCAUUUCAUACUGCUCGGCUUGAGAUUGGUAGAGGAUGGCGGAAUUCCAGGUGUAGCGGUGAAAUGCGUAGAUAUCUGGAGGAACACCGGUGGCGAAGGCGGCAUCCUGGGCCGGCAUUGACGCUGAGGCGCGAAAGCUAGGGGAGCAAACGGG